GGCUUUAUAGCUCAGUGGUUAAGGCACUGGUUUUUUGAAGUCAGUGGUCAUGAGUUCAAGUCUCCCUAGAGCCU
rnacentral:tRNA from 1 species